UGAACGCUGGCGGCAGGCCUAACACAUGCAAGUCGAGCGGUAGRGAGAAGCUUGCUUCUCUUGAGAGCGGCGGACGGGUGAGUAAUGCCUAGGAAUCUGCCUGGUAGUGGGGGAUAACGUUCGGAAACGGACGCUAAUACCGCAUACGUCCUACGGGAGAAAGCAGGGGACCUUCGGGCCUUGCGCUAUCAGAUGAGCCUAGGUCGGAUUAGCUAGUUGGUGAGGUAAUGGCUCACCAAGGCGACGAUCCGUAACUGGUCUGAGAGGAUGAUCAGUCACACUGGAACUGAGACACGGUCCAGACUCCUACGGGAGGCAGCAGUGGGGAAUAUUGGACAAUGGGCGAAAGCCUGAUCCAGCCAUGCCGCGUGUGUGAAGAAGGUCUUCGGAUUGUAAAGCACUUUAAGUUGGGAGGAAGGGCAGUUACCUAAUACGUGAUUGUUUUGACGUUACCGACAGAAUAGCACCGGC
rnacentral:rRNA from 1 species